GGGCAAUUACGAUAGGCUGGGUGUCAGGCUGAAGGUCUAUGGUGAACUCAACUUCCCUGUCUACUGGUAGUCUAAGUAGUUCAUCAGAAGACAUAUCUGGAAAUUCUCAGACCACGAGGAUUUCUUGAAUGUAAACUUCUUUCUUAGGUUCGCCUAUUGUAGAAAAGACAAGCAAGUAAAAGAAUCACACCAAUGAGGCAAUCGCCAUUAGGAAAUAAUAUUUAAAACUUUUACUAAUUUAUAAAUGACUCUUCAUUAGGAGGGUUGAAUAAAAGUUUCUUGUGGAAACAAUCUAUGGUGCUGUGAUAUGCCACUAAUUAGUUCAUUCCCAGGAUUACAUCAAAAUCUCCC
rnacentral:lncRNA from 1 species